CACAGAAACCAUGUGACUCGUGUUUAUUCUAUAAAGAUCAGGAGAUACACAAAUCCAGCAAACUCCCACCGACCACGCAGAGGACCACUUUCUUGGGAUCUGCCUCCUGUGUCCGUCCACAUGAGAACACACACUUUGUCUCAGGUGAGAAGGGGCGAGCCCUGCCUGCCCAGUGUCUAGCCUCUGGCCAGCUGUGCAGCUCUGCCAAGCCUUAGACACAUAACUUACGUCGGACCACAUUUUGCACAGAUUCUGAGGUAGUCCCAGCGAUGUCCGCUUGGCUCCUCUCCUGCUCACUGCACGUUAGUGUCCUCGGUUGGUGUGACCCCCUGACCUGCUGUAACUGACCCGUACAUGAAGCUGGCCUGUGGAAUGCUCUCCCAAGUAGGACCCUGAAGGGUGGGCCUACGUUCCCCAGCAGAGGCAUACUGAAAAGGUGCUCGCCAUGGCCAGACCAGAGUUGCUUGAAGCCACAUCAUAGAAAUCUUAAUACACACAACACAAGGAAGGUGGAAACUUCCUAAGCUGUGCCAGGCACACUGGACGGCGCUUGCACCACAGGUAGGUUUAGGCACGCAUGACUUCUCUUAAUGAGAGCCUGUCCCGCCCCCAAGCAAGGUAGCUGCAGUGUCUCAGCAGACUGCUGAAAUGGCCUCUGACAAAGGGAACUUGAGUCUGUGUCCAGGCCAGUUCACUAUUUUAAUUAAUUAAUUAAUUAAUUAUAGACAAGGUUUCUCUGUGUAGCUCUGGCUGUCCUAGAACUCCAUCUGUAGACCAGAAUAGUCAGGGCUACAUAGAGAGACCCUGUCUCAAACACACACCAGAGACUGAGACACAGAGAUAGACAGAGGCAGACAGACAGCGCCCUGCGACAUUUCCAGAGCGUAGUGGGAUAUUUUCCCCCAGAGAUGGAAGCGCUUCUGGAGCCUCACACCCCAACCGAGAAGGCAUGACGGCUAAAGGUGGGCCGGGUCAGGACCCUAACCAGAGUGGCAGGAACACACACAGAAGAGGCGACACCCAACCAUCCAGGGCUCCUGAUCUUUGGAGAUCCGGCUCGGCAGAGACCUGGCCCGACCGGCGCGGGGCACAGGGCCCGGUGCAGAAUCCCCGUCGGGUCUCACGGCCGCCCGGUGCACACGAGCCCGCAGCGCCCUCACUUUCCCCAUCUUCCCUGGAGGUUUCCGCCUGUUAGCAACGCCGCCUCACUAGUGGAAGAGCCUCCCGGAAGUGCUCCCAGACAGCCGGAAAUAGAGCCGCGGCUGCGUAGAUCGGCGUUCGGCCGGUCCCCGGAAGUGCCUCCCGUAGCGCGUGCGCAGUUGCGAUGCUUACGUCGCGCGCUCCCGCUAGCGCGUUAGACGUGUGGCGAUGUGGCUGCAGCCAAGAGCCAGGGAAGUAAAACUAUUGAAGCCUCGGGUGCACGUUACGCCAUGUUUCUAUCGCGCGCGUCUGGGGUAGAAUAGGGAGAAAGGUUCACGUCGGUUUUACUCAUGCGGGUCUCUAUGUGUGCAGCUUGGCGUUUCGUCCUUAAAACAGGUCCUGGAGUUGGGGACUUUGCAAUUCCACUUAAAUGGGUACCAGAUGGACCGAACGGCCUCCGUCUUCCUGCACAGUCGGCUCCGUGUCCAACAGCCCCUGUGCACCCAGUGCAGUAUUGCUUAAGGAAAGCAAGGACGAAGGGUAAUUCCAGCUCUUCACCCAAAUGACACCUGUAAAAUACAAUACAAAACCAAAGUGGGCUAUAGUUGGAGCCACAAAAGAAAGUUGGGCCCAGGCACAGCCAGGGUAGAGGCCUUCUGCCUUCUUCCCUUCUAGGGUAGAGAGCAUCCUGGAUGCCGGGACGUCUCUGCUAGGGAUCC
ensembl:lincRNA 2810425M01Rik RIKEN cDNA 2810425M01 gene